rnacentral:rRNA from 1 species
UACAGAGGUCUCGAGCGUUGUUCGGAUUCAUUGGGCGUAAAGGGUGCGUAGGUGGCGCUGUAAGUCGGGUGUGAAAUCCUGAGGCUUAACCUCGGAACUGCAUUCGAUACUGCGGUGCUUGAGGACUGGAGAGGAGACUGGAAUUUACGGUGUAGCGGUGAAAUGCGUAGAUAUCGUAAGGAACACCCGUAGCGAAGGCGGCACUCUGGGCCGAUACUGACACUGAGGAGCGAAAGCGUGGGGAGCGAACAGG